UUUAUAAACAACCUCCUCCUAGUUCCUACCAUCGUCAAAGCAAUUCAUCUCAGUCAAUGCAUAUUUUAGGGUUUUUAAAUCCAAUCAGGUAUUCCCAAUUCAUUCUUUCUUUCUGUUUUAAGCUUUUAGAUUUCAAAUCCAAAUGACGAUUUAGGAUUACAUCUCACGACGGUCGUCUGAAAUCACGUCUUUUUGUAGGACUGUGAUAAAUUGAUGUAUUGAUCCAUUUUUUCUGAUGGUUUUUCUAUCAUCUUCUCUGUUGCUUUUUCUAUUUCAAAAUUUCUAGAUGUGAAUUCGAUUACUUAGGCGAGCAUGGUGAUGAUUGUUUAAUUCUACCGAUAAUUCAUGAAUGGAUUUACAAACCUCCUACUCAUUCUGAAUGUUCGCCAUUUUUGUGAUUGAUUUCAUGUUCAUUACUCUUUCCAAUUUCCAUAUAUUGUGUCCGAAGCUGUAGUUAGAAGAACAUGUUGAUGAUUGUUUAAUUAUUCCGAAAAAUUCAUGAAUGGAAUAACAAACCUCCUACUCAUUCUGAGUGUUCUUCUUUUAUUGAUUAAUUGCUUCUUCAUGUGUUAUUUCGAUUUCCACACUAGAAAAAGAUCCUACACUUGUUAAUGUUUAGCUGUAUAAUUAUUUCGCACGAUGAUGAGUAUGUUGUAUUGAGAUCGAAAGAUCUUUGAUUUUUUAAAUCAACAAGUCCUUUUCAUCCUGAGUGCUUGAAUUAUUCGCGUUCUAUAACAUUCUUAUUUUCUGUUUCGUUCAACCCAAACAAGCUUUUUGUGAAUUGCUUUAUGAAUCAUAUGAAAUACAAAGGGUCUGAAGUUUGACUCUUUGGCUUUAACUGUAAUGCCAUAGUGUUGAAUCCAGCACCCAAAACUAAAUUCCCCCUUUUUGUUUAUCAAGUUAGGAUUUUUUCAUAGCCUAUCUACAUUCAUUAAGGGUUACAUGCAUUUUAUGUUAUAAACUUUCAUAUUUUCAAAGGAUUUAGUAAUUUGCAUCGAAAAUACUGAUUACCAGCUCUCUUUUAUUGCAAUAGGUGUUGUGUAUGAGCCGAUGCGAUAUUAAUUUAUUCGUAUUCUGAAAUUUUUUGGUUUCAAUUUUAUCCAAAUUUUAUUCGGAUGCGAAGAACAUUUAUUUAUUGUCUUUUAAUUUAAAUUUGAAGAUAUGGAUAUGAUGAAUAUUUCCCCAGAUGAUCGAAUUUGAAAUAACUGAGCGCAAUUUUAAUUUUUCUCCUUUCGGAGUAGAAUUCAAGCCAGAAAUCUGAUCCAUGUCUUCUAUUAUUUUUUGCUAUUUGAAAUCUGUUAAUUUGUUAAAGAAAUUUUUUAUUUAUUACUCUGUUUUAUUACGAUGAACAUAAAAUUGGAAGUGAUGACUAUUUCCCCAGAUGAUCGAAGUUGAUUAUACUGAGCGCAAUUAUUAAAUUCUCUUUUAUCUAGAGAAUCCAAGCCAGAAAUCUGAUCCAAUUUCAAUUUGCUUAUUUAUUUCCGAUUUUGUUUGUUUAUUUAUAUAAGUUUAUGAUUAUUAUAUCUAUCUGUUUUUUAUUUUUGAAGUAUUAAAAAUUGAACCAAACUACAUUUCAUGCCUUUUCUUUUAAAAGCAUUAAAGAUUUGAAAAAAGAUUGUAAUGUUUUUUUGAUAACAAUAAAAAGACAUUUAAAAUGCAAUCUAUUUGAAAUACAAUUCAAUGUUAUAUUUAUCAAUAACGAAAAAAUUAUGAUUAAAACCUAAGAAAAUCAAAAACAAAAAUAUAUAAGAUCAAAAAGUUGAGAAUAAAGAUUUUAAAAGUUGAAUAUUGUAUUUAAAACAUAACGUAAAUUUAAUAAUAUUUGAGGCAUAUAUUCUGCUACUUAGGGGUUGUUUGUCAAGAUAUGAAUUUCAAAGAGUUUCUAAACUUUUAAGAACUGUUAAAAUUUAAGAUCUAACUUUUAAGAUCUGAAUUUUUAUAAAUGUUAGUUUGGUUUGAACAUUUGAAUUGAAGGGUUGAAUCAUAAAAAUGUCAAUUUUGCCUUUUUAUGUUUUUUUUUGUUGAAUUUAAUGUUUUUGUUUAUACAGUGACCAAAACAGCUUCUUGAAUAAAUAAAAUUCUAUUGUAGAGUGCUUCAGGUUUCUGAUGAAAACAUUUGUUUGAGAAAGUACUUUUUGUUCCGAUUGAUGAUUGAGAUUUGACACUAAAUUGAGUUUGCAACCAAAACUUAACCAUAAAUUAACAAUUAACAUCAAUUCCCAAUCGAAUAGUGAAUUCUAUAUUGUUACAAUUGAUUGAUGAAGAAGAAUGAUGGAUAAAUUAUAUUUGUGAUCAAAAAACAUAAGUUGGGUUUAAAUUUAUUACUAUGCUACAUGACAAUAGAAACAUAAAUACAUGACAAUAAACAAAAAAAACAUUCAUAAAUAUUUACAACAAAGUUUUUCAACCUAAAUGUCUUUGAAUUCCUUGUUAGUGGACGAGGAAAUAGUCAUCAGAGACCAUGAGAUGAAAUCAGCACACCAGAGAAAUUGCCGAUUUUAUCGGAUUUUGUAUGUAUAACUUUAUGAUAUUAUUGUCAAAUUUUCAAGGUAAAGUUUUUGUAAGUGAGACGUUUUGGGGGUUUUGAAGGAUAAACAAAGAUGGUUUGAGCUAGAAAAUGUUAAUACCCUUAUCAAAGAUUGACCUCAAAGAUCUUUUUCAAGUUUCGAUUCCAUCUAUGAGGCGAGAUAAAACAAAAAAAGAUCGAAGAUUUUCAAAGUUUAUCGAGGAUAGAGAUCCAAUGUUUGGACUUUGGAUAGUAACCUUAAAAGUUAUUUGGAGGUGCGAAGGGUUUGUAAAAGGAAUUGUAUGCUAAUUAUUUUUUAAAGAAUGAAACAAAUUUGUUAGAAAAGGUAAGUCUAAUUGUGGCAAAUGUAAAUGACGACAUCGCUGAACAAUAUCGUUUCUGUUUUUUCAUCUUCUUAAGCCUUCUGUUAUACACAACUAACUAUACCUAAAAUAUCAUAUAAUUUUUUUUCAAAUAUUAAUUUUCGUUAAUUUAAAAUACCAAAUUAUGUGAUUGUUAAAUAUGUGAUUGUUUAUAUAGGAAUUUAGUAAAUUUUAAUGAGAAUGUUAAAUAUGUAAUUUUUUAUAUAUUCGAUGAUCAAUAAUGUCAUAAAGUUGUACAUACAAAAUUUUAAUGUGA
rnacentral:lncRNA from 1 species